rnacentral:rRNA from 1 species
GACGAACGCUGGCGGCGUGCUUAACACAUGCAAGUCGAACGGUGAAGCGCCUUCCUUUUUGGUGGGUGUGGAUGAGUGGCGAACGGGUGAGUAACACGUGAGUAGCCUGCCCCCUUCUUCUGGAUAACCGCAUGAAAGUGUGGCUAAUACGGGAUAUUCUGGGUCUGUCGCAUGAUGGGUCUGGGAAAGAUAUUGUUUCGGUGGGGGAUGGGCUCGCGGCCUAUCAGCUUGUUGGUGGGGUGAUGGCCUACCAAGGCGGUGACGGGUAGCCGGCCUGAGAGGGUGGACGGACACACUGGGACUGAGACACGGCCCAGACUCCUACGGGAGGCAGCAGUGGGGAAUAUUGCACAAUGGGCGCAAGCCUGAUGCAGCGACGCCGCGUGAGGGAUGGAGGCCUUCGGGUUGUGAACCUCUUUCGCCAGUGAAGCAGGCCUGCCUCGUUUGUGGGUGGGUUGACGGUAGCUGGAUAAGAAGCGCCGGCUAACUACGUG